rnacentral:rRNA from 1 species
AUUGAACGCUGGCGGCAUGCCUGACACAUGCAAGUCGAACGGUAACGGCCCUUCGGGUGCCGACGUGUUGCGUACGGGUGAGUAAUACACCCGAACGUGCCCGAUCGUUGGGGAUAAAGAGCCGUAAGCUUUGCUAAUACCGCAUACGAUCUACGGAUGAAAGCAAGGGACCGCAAGGCAUUGCGCGGACCGACCGGCCGAUGCCAGCUUAGGUAGAUGGUGGGAUAAAAGCUUACCAAUCCGACGAUCUGUAGCAGGGCUGAGAGGAUGAUCAGCCACACUGGGACUGAGACACCGCCCACACUCCUACGGGAGGCAGCAGUGGGGGAUCUGGGACAAUGGGCGCAAGCCGAAUACAGGCAUGCCGCGUGUAGGAUGAAGGCGUUGGGGUUGGUAACUGCUUUUGGACGGAGCGAACUGGCUUCUUUGAAUACGGGAGGGUCAUGACGGUACCGGAAGAAUAAGCACCGGCUAACUACGUG